UCCAAGCGGCGCCACUGUGGGGUGUCUCAAUUUUUACCUCUAAUGAGGCCCUUCCCGAUUCCUGUUCGACGUGAUUUUUCCACCUUUGUGAUCACCGUUUUCUCCUCUACAGGUUGACUGGAGCAAAACACCCAACCGCGACGUGAGCCGGAGGAGCCACCACACCAGAGAGCCCCACCGCCGGUAAGUUUUAGUUUUUUGUGUUUUUUCGACCCAU
rnacentral:lncRNA from 1 species